CGAAAGCCUGACGGAGCAAUACCGCGUGAGGGAUGAAGGAUUUUGGUCUGUAAACCUCUUUUCUCAAGAAAGAAGUUCUGACGGUACUUGAGGAAUAAGCAUCGGCUAACUCCGUGCCAGCAGCCGCGGUAAUACGGGGGAUGCAAGCGUUAUCCGGAAUGAUUGGGCGUAAAGCGCCUGUAGGUUGUUUAUUAAGUCCGUUGUUAAAGCCUAGGGCUUAACCCUAGAAAAGCAAUGGAAACUAGUAGACUAGAGUAUGGCGGGGGUAGAGGGAAUUUCUAGUGUAGCGGUGAAAUGCGUAGAUAUUAGAAAGAACACCGGUGGCGAAAGCGCUCUACUGGACCAUUACUGACACUCAGAGGCGAAAGCUAGGGUAGCAAAAG
rnacentral:rRNA from 1 species